AAGUCAGAAAAAUAGAUCUAUAACUUCGAAAAAAGGAUUGGAUCUGAGGGCUGGGCAUGGGGGUCCCAAUCCUAAACCCGUCGACUAUUGGUGGACAACUCGAUCUGUUCCCACGGUAAGAGUAGGUCGCUGCUUGUCGAUCGGGGGAUGGAUUGGGAACGGUUCCUUUUAGGGCCUUCCCUCCCCGUCAAACAGCCAACUCAGAACUGGUAUGGAUAAUAGAAAACCGAUUUAUUUAUUAAAACAAAGCAUUGUGAUGGUCCCAAUAGAUGUUCAAGCAAUAUGAUUUCUACCCAAUGCUCGGAAUGUCAAGGUGAAGAAAUUCAACCAAGCACGGGUAAACUGCGGGAGUAAUUAUGUCUCUCAUUGGAAUGACUACAAUCUAAAUCCCUUAAUGACGAUCGAUUGGAGGAGAAUUAUAUUG
rnacentral:ncRNA from 1 species